GAUGAACGCUAGCUACAGGCUUAACACAUGCAAGUCGCGGGGCAGCAUGGGGAUUGCUUGCAAUCCCCGAUGGCGACCGGCGCACGGGUGAGUAACGCGUAUUCAACCUGCCCUUCACCACGGGAUAACCCGGCGAAAGUCGGACUAAUACCGUAUGUUGUCCAUUGACUGCAUCCGAUUUGGACGAAAGGCUUGGCGGUGAGGGAUGGGGAUGCGUCCGAUUAGCCAGACGGCGGGGUAACGGCCCACCGUGGCUACGAUCGGUAGGGGUUCUGAGAGGAAGGUCCCCCACACUGGAACUGAGACACGGUCCAGACUCCUACGGGAGGCAGCAGUGAGGAAUAUUGGUCAAUGGGAGUAAGCCUGAACCAGCCAAGUAGCGUGCAGGAUGACGGCCCUAUGGGUUGUAAACUGCUUUUAUGCGGGGAUAAAGUGGCCCACGUGUGGGCUUUUGCAGGUACCGCAUGAAUAAGGACCGGCUAAUUCCGUG
rnacentral:rRNA from 1 species